UACGAAGGGGGCUAGCGUUGCUCGGAAUCACUGGGCGUAAAGGGUGCGUAGGCGGGUUUUUAAGUCAGAGGUGAAAUCCUGGAGCUCAACUCCAGAACUGCCUUUGAUACUGAAAGUCUUGAGUACGGGAGAGGUGAGUGGAACUGCGAGUGUAGAGGUGAAAUUCGUAGAUAUUCGCAAGAACACCAGUGGCGAAGGCGGCGCACUGGCCCGUAACUGACGCUGAGGCACGAAAGCGUGGGGAGCAAACAGG
rnacentral:rRNA from 1 species